CUGUGUCACAUCUUGGAAUACUGGUGUGAAAACAAAGGAUGCAGAAGUUCUAGAAGUACUGCUGUGGAGGACUGGUGACGACAACAGCAGUCACCAUAAUGAGGAGAAGAUGAGCUCCGCCUACAGUCCCAGCACUCGUAGUUUCAUUCAUGAGGAUGAACGCAUUUCAUCCUCUAACAGCUCCGGGACGCAGGUUACGAACAGAAGCCAACCCCUGAUCAUUUCAGUGUAAUGAAGCAUCUACUGUCAAAGAAGGAAAUCAUUUUUUAAGUCCAUAUACAUACUGAAUCUUCAGAUUCAGAGAUGUUUACAUUUCUGGAUAAAAAUCAGUGUACUUAUGGAAAAUAAAGGCAUGUUUGAAACUGCUUAGAGGAAAAGAAUGUGGUAUGAACCUUAAAGGAGAAACUACAAACCAAGCGAGACCUAUGUCAUCACAUCCUCUGAAGCAUGAAUGAGAAACAAGGAAAUGACUGUGGUUUCCACUUCAGAUCUGAUUCAUAAAUAGAGGGCAAGUCUCCCACAA